UAGGGAAUAUUUCACAAUGGGGGCAACCCUGAUGGAGCAAUGCCGCGUGUGUGAUGAAGGCUUUCGGGUCGUAAAGCACUGUUAUAAGGGAAGAACAUGUAGAUCAGGAAAUGGGUUUGCACUGACGGUACCUUAUCAGAAAGGGACGGCUAACUACGUGCCAGCAGCCGCGGUAAUACGUAGGUCCCAAGCGUUAUCCGGAAUUAUUGGGCGUAAAGGGUCCGUAGACGGUUUAUUAAGUCUGGUGUGAAAUCCAGUGGCUCAACCACUGACACGCAUCAGAUACUGGUAAACUAGAGUAUGUUAGAGGAUAGUGGAAUUCCAUGUGUAGCGGUGAAAUGCGUAGAUAUAUGGAGGAACACCAGUGGCGAAGGCGGCUAUCUGGGACAUUACUGACGUU
rnacentral:rRNA from 1 species